GUCCGUAACUGGCUUCUCUACGUAUGAAUUUGUAGUCUUGAAGUCAAUGUCCUUCCGUUUACCGUAGAAACCAGUGCAUAACAAAUAAAGAGGAAUAAUUGUUGAAAAUUUUUCAGCCAAAGCUUGAACUAUUUUGUUAGGCUUUGCCCUCACCAAUGAGUCAUACACAUACAGUUGCGGUCCUUUAUGUCAAACACUAA
rnacentral:lncRNA from 1 species